GAUGAACGCUAGCUACAGGCUUAACACAUGCAAGUCGCGGGGCAGCAUGGGGGUUGCUUGCAAUCCCCGAUGGCGACCGGCGCACGGGUGAGUAACGCGUAUCCAACCUGCCCUUCACCACGGGAUAACCCGGCGAAAGUCGGACUAAUACCGUAUGUUGUCCAUUGACGGCAUCCGAUUUGGACGAAAGGUUUGGCGGUGAAGGAUGGGGAUGCGUCCGAUUAGCUGGACGGCGGGGUGACGGCCCACCGUGGCGACGAUCGGUAGGGGUUCUGAGAGGAAGGUCCCCCACACUGGAACUGAGACACGGCCCAGACUCCUACGGGAGGCAGCAGUGAGGAAUAUUGGUCAAUGGGCGUAAGCCUGAACCAGCCAAGUAGCGUGCAGGAUGACGGCCCUAUGGGUUGUAAACUGCUUUUAUGCGGGGAUAAGGUGGCCCACGUGUGGGUUUUUGCAGGUACCGCAUGAAUAAGGACCGGCUAAUUCCGU
rnacentral:rRNA from 1 species